rnacentral:rRNA from 1 species
GACGAACGCUGGCGGCGUGCCUAACACAUGCAAGUCGAACGGUAGCAGAACUAGCUUGCUAGUUGCUGACGAGUGGCGAACGGGUGAGUAACGCGUGGGAAUCUACCUGGUAGUGGGGGAUAACAGUCGGAAACGACUGCUAAUACCGCAUACGUCCUAAGGGAGAAAGCGGGGGAUCUUCGGACCUCGUGCUAUCAGAUGAGCCCGCGUCGGAUUAGCUAGUUGGUGGGGUAAGAGCCUACCAAGGCGACGAUCCGUAGCUGGUCUGAGAGGAUGAUCAGCCACACUGGAACUGAGACACGGUCCAGACGCCUACGGGAGGCAGCAGUGGAGAAUAUUGGACAAUGGGCGCAAGCCUGAUCCAGCCAUGCCGCGUGUGUGAAGAAGGCCCUAGGGUUGUAAAGCACUUUCAGCAGGGAGGAAAGGAUGUACGUUAAUACCGUGCAUCUGUGACGUUACCUGCAGAAGAAGCACCGGCUAACUCCGUGCCAGCCGCCGCCGUAA